UGAGAGAGACUGACAGCCUAGGUGUC
rnacentral:piRNA from 1 species